CGUAGGCGCAAGCGUUGUCCGGAUUAUUGGCGUAAGAGCUCGUAGGUGGCUUGUCGCGUCUGCCGUGAAGACUCGGGCUUAACUCGGGUUCUGCGGUGGAUACGGGCUGGCUAGAGGCAGGCAGGGAGAACGGAAUUCCUGGUGUAGCGGUGAAUGCGCAGAUAUCAGGAGGAACACCGGUGGCGAAGGCGGUUCUCUGGGCCUGGCCUGACGCUGAGGAGCGAAAGCGUGGGAGCGAACAGGAUU
rnacentral:rRNA from 1 species